ensembl:snRNA U6 U6 spliceosomal RNA
GUGCACCCUUGGGUAGCACAUACACUAAAAUUGGAAUGAUAGAAGAUCAGUGUAGAUCCUAUGCAAAGAUGACACACAAAUUAAUGAAGCAUUCCAUAAUUUU